rnacentral:rRNA from 1 species
GACGAACGCUGGCGGCGUGCUUAACACAUGCAAGUCGAACGGAAAGGCCCUGCUUUUGUGGGGUGCUCGAGUGGCGAACGGGUGAGUAACACGUGAGUAACCUGCCCUUGACUUUGGGAUAACUUCAGGAAACUGGGGCUAAUACCGGAUAGGAGCUCCUGCUGCAUGGUGGGGGUUGGAAAGUUUCGGCGGUUGGGGAUGGACUCGCGGCUUAUCAGCUUGUUGGUGGGGUAGUGGCUUACCAAGGCUUUGACGGGUAGCCGGCCUGAGAGGGUGACCGGCCACAUUGGGCCUGAGAUACGGACCAGACUCCUACGGGAGGCAGCAGUGGGGAAUAUUGCACAAUGGGCGGAAGCCUGAUGCAGCAACGCCGCGUGCGUGAUGACGGCCUUCGGGUUGUAAACCGCUUUCGCCUGUGACGAAGCGUGAGUGACGGUAAUGGGUAAAGAAGCACCGGCUAACUACGUG